UUAUCUUUUGUCUUCUUAUAUUUAAAUCUAAUUUCGUCUCAUAAGAGUUAUAUCUUAGCUCAUAAUGUAAGUGGAAUGAAAGUUGUUUCGAUUAAGCGAGCCCGAAAACACAAACCAGCUGAAAAUGAAGGUGAAUUAAUGCACCUUGUUGAAGAGAGCGAAUUCUCUGAUCUUGGCAGAUAUGUUAUUUUGAAACCAUCUGUAAAGGCUAUCUAUGCUCUUUUACUUCAGCACCAUCUUGGAAUUGGCGAUGACGUAUUGUAAAUUAGAAUGAAAAGGGAAACAGUGUUUUGAAAGCCUCUCAGCUGUUACAAACGCCAUCUUGGCUGCUACCUUCAGACUGUUUAAAGAAACUAGCAGACUAGAAAAGCCGAAAAAUUUGGUGAAGUUCUUGCCACCGUCAACGACCGGGAAGGCAGGAAGACUAAGUUUGCAUCAACUGACAGUUUUGUUUUAGAAACAAUUGAUUGUAUUAAAGAAUACAAUAAAUUAUAGAAAUUAGUAUA